rnacentral:rRNA from 1 species
GGAAUUUUCCGCAAUGGGCGAAAGCCUGACGGAGCAAUACCGCGUGAGGGAUGACGGCCUAUGGGUUGUAAACCUCUUUUCUCAGGGAGGAAAUCAAUGACGUUACCUGAGGAAUAAGCAUCGGCUAACUCCGUGCCAGCAGCCGCGGUAAGACGGAGGAUGCAAGUGUUAUCCGGAAUCACUGGGCGUAAAGCGUCUGUAGGUGGCUUAACAAGUCAACUGUUAAAUCUUGAAGCUCAACUUCGAAAUCGCAGUCGAAACUGUUAGGCUAGAGUAUAGUAGAGGUAAAGGGAAUUUCCAGUGGAGCGGUGAAAUGCGUAGAUAUCGGGAAGAACACCAACGGCGAAAGCACUCUGCUGGGCCGACACUGACACUGAGAGACGAAAGCUAGGGUAGCCAAUGGGAUUAGAUACCCCAGUAGUC